rnacentral:lncRNA from 1 species
AGAAAUGCAGGCAGGCGACUGGCCCUGAUGGACAAACAGGGAGAUCCUGGGCGUGUUUAUCAAGCUCCACAUAAGCCGGUUUGGUGUGUGGCUUCUCAGAGUUCUACUCUUCUCUAUGAGGGCAUUGAGAAGGCGGAGGAUAAAACGACUCUCAUUUUUAAAAAUCAUGUCCCAAGUCAUGUCCCAGUUUUCAUCUUCAGCCUGCAUUUGACCUUGUGAGGCUGAAUCUUGACGUCUGGACCUUGACUUCCUGGGAAAGACAGCUCACUCAUAUACUAAGGAGGGACAGAAAGACCCGUUUUAUAUUGGUCAGCAACAUCAGCAUCACCUGGAAACUGGUUAGAAAUGCAAAAACUUAAGCCUGUCCCCAGCCUGCUGAAUCAGAUACUCUGGAGUGAGGCUGAGCAGCCUGUGUGUUCACGAGCCGUCCAGAUGAUUCAGGUGCCUGCUAAGGUUUGAGAAUCUUCGUCCUAUGGCCUCUCUCGUAGUGUGAUUCCAG